GUUCUUCUGCAGGACAAGCCCUGCAGGCCUCAAGAACAUCAGAUCAAGCAAACCCCUCUAGAAAUGCAAAGUUAUUAGUCAGGCACCCUGCACCUAAGGGUGCUUUUCUGAGUAGGCAAAUUACAUCCCUGACUGCCAACUUUGGAUGAUGAGAAGCCGUUUGCCAAAUGAAAAAAUGUUUAGGGAUGCUGGAGGCAGAUAAACAAGCCAUUCAUCCAAUACACCAUCAAAAUAUUUUGCCUGCAAUAAAGCCACGACUGACCUCCUCAGAACAAACCAUCUACAGAUGCAUGCAACAAUGGAGUGAUGAGUCCUAAGUAACUGCGUGUUAGAAAGAUUGCUUUUCCACCAGCAUUUCCUGAAUGUAGCACUCAAAGUCAAUUAAUGCUGAUAAAAGCGUCGCUUGUUUUGUAAUGUAAA